rnacentral:rRNA from 1 species
GAGUUUGAUCCUGGUUCAGGACGAACGCUGACGGUGUGCUUUAGACAUGCAAGUCGAACGAGAAAGCCCUUCGGGGUGAGUACAGUGGCGAACGGGUGAGUAACACGUGGGUAAUCUGCCCCUCGCAGGGGGACAACCGGGGGAAACCCCGGCUAAUACCCCGUACGCUUGCGGGGCCGCAUGGCUCGGCAAGGAAAAGGUAGCUUCGGCCAUCCGGCGAGGGAUGAGCCCGCGGUCCAUUAGCUAGUUGGUGGGGUAAAGGCCUACCAAGGCGACGAUGGAUAGCUGGUCUGAGAGGAUGAUCAGCCACACUGGGACUGAGACACGGCCCAGACUCCUACGGGAGGCAGCAGUCGGGAAUCUUGCGCAAUGGGCGAAAGCCUGACGCAGCAACACCGUGUGGGCGACGAAGGCCUUCGGGUCGUAAAGCCCUGUUGUUGGGGACGAAGGGCGAAGGGUUAAUAGCCCCUAGCCUGACGGUACCCUUCGAGGAAGCCCCGGCUAACUACGUGCCAGCAGCCGCGGUAAUACGUAGGGGGCGAGCGUUGUCCGGAAUUAUUGGGCGUAAAGAGCGUGUAGGCGGUUCGGUAAGUCUGCCGUGAAAACCUGGGGCUCAACCCCGGGCGUGCGGUGGAUACUGCCGGGCUAGAGGAUGGUAGAGGCGAGUGGAAUUCCCGGUGUAGCGGUGAAAUGCGCAGAUAUCGGGAGGAACACCAGUAGCGAAGGCGGCUCGCUGGGCCAUUCCUGACGCUGAGACGCGAAAGCUAGGGGAGCGAACAGGAUUAGAUACCCUGGUAGUCCUAGCCGUAAACGAUGAACACUAGGUGUGGGGGGAGUCGAAUCCCUCUGUGCCGCAGCCAACGCGUUAAGUGUUCCGCCUGGGGAGUACGGCCGCAAGGCUAAAACUCAAAAGAAUUGACGGGGGCCCGCACAAGCAGCGGAGCAUGUUCUUUAAUUCGAUGCAACGCGAAGAACCUUACCUGGGCUUGACAUGGUGCUGCAAGCGCACGGAAACGUGUGACCUUCGAGGGUGCACCACAGAUGCUGCAUGGCUGUCGUCAGCUCGUGUCGUGAGUUGUUGGGUUAAGUCCCGCAACGAGCGCAACCC